GGCGCCGUGGCUUAGUUGGUUAAAGCGCCUGUCUAGUAAACAGGAGAUCGGGGGUUCGAAUCCCCCCGGAGCCU
rnacentral:tRNA from 4 species